UACGGGGGGGGCAAGCGUUGUCCGGAAUUACUGGGCGUAAAGAGCUCGUAGGUGGUUUGUCGCGUUGUUCGUGAAAACUCACAGCUCAACUGUGGGCGUGCGGGCGAUACGGGCAGACUAGAGUACUGCAGGGGAGACUGGAAUUCCUGGUGUAGCGGUGGAAUGCGCAGAUAUCAGGAGGAACACCGGUGGCGAAGGCGGGUCUCUGGGCAGUAACUGACGCUGAGGAGCGAAAGCGUGGGGAGCGAACAGG
rnacentral:rRNA from 1 species